rnacentral:rRNA from 1 species
AGAGUUUGAUCAUGGCUCAGAUUGAACGCUGGCGGCAGGCUUAACACAUGCAAGUCGAGCGGAGAUGAGGUGCUUGCACCUUAUCUUAGCGGCGGACGGGUGAGUAAUGCUUAGGAAUCUGCCAUUUAGUGGGGGACAACAUUCCGAAAGGAAUGCUAAUACCGCAUACGUCCUACGGGAGAAAGCAGGGGAUCUUCGGACCUUGCGCUAAGAGAUGAGCCCGCGUCGGAUUAGCUAGUUGGUGGGGUAAAGGCCUACCAAGGCGACGAUCCGUAACUGGUCUGAGAGGAUGAUCAGUCACACUGGAACUGAGACACGGUCCAGACUCCUACGGGAGGCAGCAGUGGGGAAUAUUGGACAAUGGGCGCAAGCCUGAUCCAGCCAUACCGCGUGGGUGAAGAAGGCCUUCGGGUUGUAAAGCCCUUUUGUUGGGAAAGAAAUCCAGCCGGCUAAUACCUGGUUGGGAUGACGGUACCCAAAGAAUAAGCACCGGCUAACUUCGUGCCAGCAGCCGCGGUAAUACGAAGGGUGCAAGCGUUAUCCGGAUUCAUUGGGUUUAAAGGGUGCGUAGGCGGAACGUUAAGUCAGUGGUGAAAUCCUGCAGCUCAACUGUAGACUUGCCAUUGAUACUGGCGUUCUUGAGUGCGCUUGAAGUAGGCGGAAUGUGCAGUGUAGCGGUGAAAUGCUUAGAUAUUGCACAGAACACCGAUUGCGAAGGCAGCUUACUAAGGCGAUACUGACGCUGAGGCACGAAAGCGUGGGGAUCAAACAGGAUUAGAUACCCUGGUAGUCCACGCCGUAAACGAUGUCUACUAGCCGUUGGGAGACUUGAUUUCUUAGUGGCGCAGCUAACGCAAUAAGUAGACCGCCUGGGGAGUACGGCCGCAAGGUUAAAACUCAAAUGAAUUGACGGGGGCCCGCACAAGCGGUGGAGCAUGUGGUUUAAUUCGAUGCAACGCGAAGAACCUUACCUGGCCUUGACAUGUCUGAAAUCUCUGAGAGAUUAGAGAGUGCCUUCGGGAAUCAGAACACAGGUGCUGCAUGGCUGUCGUCAGCUCGUGUCGUGAGAUGUUGGGUUAAGUCCCGCAACGAGCGCAACCCUU